GAGGGCCCAGCCCCGCCGGGAGCGUCCGGGAGCCCCGAGCAGCAGCGGCCGCUUCGCCCUCGUCCGUGCAGGGAGCAGCGGGCACUGAGCGGCAGGAGGUGCAGGAGAAGAAAGUGGAGGCCUCCAUGGUGUGUGGAAAAAAGCAUAAACCAAGAGUGAGCAGAGGAAGCCUGGAUGAGUGAAGUGGAGCAGGAGGUGCUGGAGAAGAAAGAGGAAGCAUCCAUGGUGUGUUGAAGGAAGCAGGAAGCAAGAGCAAGCAGAGGAUGUGAGGAAGCCUGGAUGACUGAAGUGGAGGCCCGUUUGUUCGGAAUUCUGGAGCUGAAUCCCGAUACAGUGGGAGAGUGGCUGAGGCUCUUAAGCCAGGAGAAUGCAGGCAGCUUCGACAGAGCUGCCAGACCCCUCAGCGAGUUCUUCAUCGAACCUCCCUACAGCCACCUCUCCUCUCGGCCCUAUCUCUGACCUCCCCCUGCUCCCCAAAACAACUCCCAGAACGGCUUUUCUCACCCGCUCACUGCCUGCUGCUCCCUGCACAGACAAGGGCAAAGUGGUCGCUGCUGCUCCGGGCUCCCAGGGGGGCUGGACCCUCUGCUGCUCCCCCCAGCCAGAGGUGACAGAGUCAGAGCCUCAUUCCUAACCUCGGCAGGG